rnacentral:rRNA from 1 species
UACGGAGGAUGCAGGCGUUAUCCGGAUUUAUUAGGUUUAAAGGGUGCGUAGGCGGCCCAUUAAGUCAGUGGUGAAAGUUUGCAGCUUAACUGUAAAAUUGCCAUUGAUACUGGUGGGCUUGAGUCUGGUAGAGGUAGGCGGAAUGUGUAGUGUAGCGGUGAAAUGCUUAGAUAUUACACAGAACACCGAUUGCGAAGGCA